rnacentral:rRNA from 1 species
CCGGCGACCGGCGCACGGGUGAGUAACACGUAUGCAACCUGGCCGUGACAGAUGGAUAACCGGGAGAAAUCCCGCCUAAUACAACAUAAUGCUGGGAGGGGACAUCCCCUGCCGGCCAAAGGGGGCGACCCCGGUCACGGAUGGGCAUGCGGCGCAUUAGGUAGUUGGUGGGGCAACGGCCCACCAAGCCGACGAUGCGUAGGGGUUCUGAGAGGAAGGUCCCCCACAUUGGAACUGAGACACGGUCCAAACUCCUACGGGAGGCAGCAG